CCUACGGGAGGCAGCAGUGAGGAAUAUUGGACAAUGGGCGCAAGCCUGAUCCAGCCAUGCCGCGUGCAGGAAGAAGCAUCUAUGGUGUGUAAACUGCUUUUGUACAGGAAGAAACACUCCCUCGUGAGGGAGCUUGACGGUACUGUAAGAAUAAGGACCGGCUAACUCCGUGCCAGCAGCCGCGGUAAUACGGAGGGUCCGAGCGUUAUCCGGAAUCAUUGGGUUUAAAGGGUCCGUAGGCGGUUUAAUAAGUCAGUGGUGAAAUCUGGUCGCUCAACGAUCAAACGGCCAUUGAUACUGUUAGACUUGAAUUAUAAGGAAGUAACUAGAAUAUGUAGUGUAGCGGUGAAAUGCUUAGAUAUUACAUGGAAUACCAAUUGCGAAGGCAGGUUACUACUUAUGGAUUGACGCUGAUGGACGAAAGCGUGGGGAGCGAACAGGAUUAGAUACCCUGGUAGUCCACGCCGUAAACGAUGGAUACUAGCUGUUCGGAGCAAUCUGAGUGGCUAAGCGAAAGUGAUAAGUAUCCCACCUGGGGAGUACGUUCGCAAGAAUGAAACUCAAAGGAUUGACGGNNGAGAGNGCGAGACGACGACGAGGGAGGAGG
rnacentral:rRNA from 1 species